rnacentral:rRNA from 1 species
GACGAACGCUGGCGGCGUGCUUAACACAUGCAAGUCGAACGGAAAGGCCCUGCUUUUGUGGGGUGCUCGAGUGGCGAACGGGUGAGUAACACGUGAGUAACCUGCCCUUGACUUUGGGAUAACUUCAGGAAACUGGGGCUAAUACCGGAUAGGAGCUCCUGCUGCAUGGUGGGGGUUGGAAAGUUUCGGCGGUUGGGGAUGGACUCGCGGCUUAUCAGCUUGUUGGUGGGGUAGUGGCUUACCAAGGCUUUGACGGGUAGCCGGCCUGAGAGGGUGACCGGCCACAUUGGGACUGAGAUACGGCCCAGACUCCUACGGGAGGCAGCGGUGGGGAAUAUUGCACAAUGGGCGGAAGCCUGAUGCAGCAACGCCGCGUGCGGGAUGACGGCCUUCGGGUUGUAAACCGCUUUCGCCUGUGACGAAGCGUGAGUGACGGUAAUGGGUAAAGAAGCACCGGCUAACUACG